UACGUAGGUCCCGAGCGUUGUCCGGAUUUAUUGGGCGUAAAGCGAGCGCAGGUGGUUUAUUAAGUCUGGUGUAAAAGGCAGUGGUUCAACCAUUGUAUGCAUUGGAAACUGGUAGACUUGAGUGCAGGAGAGGAGAGUGGAAUUCCAUGUGUAGCGGUGAAAUGCGUAGAUAUAUGGAGGAACACCGGUGGCGAAAGCGGCUCUCUGGCCUGUAACUGACACUGAGGCUCGAAAGCGUGGGGAGCAAACAGG
rnacentral:rRNA from 1 species